rnacentral:rRNA from 1 species
CAGUCGCCACGGUAAUACGAAGGGUGCAUGCGUUACUCGGGAUUACUGGGCGUAAAGCGUGCGUAGGUGGUGGUUUAAGUCCGUUGUGAAAGCCCUGGGCUCAACCUGGGAAUUGCAGUGGAUACUGGGUCACUAGAGUGUGGUAGAGGAUAGUGGAAUUUCCGGUGUAGCAGUGAAAUGCGUAGAGAUCAGAAGGAACAUCUGUGGCGAAGGCGACUAUCUGGGCCAACACUGACACUGAGGCACGAAAGCGUGGGGAGCAAACAGGAUUAGAGACCCCUGUAGUCCCUGUCUCUUAUAC